CGGUGUUGUACUGGGCGUAAAGCGUGCGUAGGCGGCUUAUUUAAGUUAAUGUGAAUUUCCCCGAGCUUAACUUGGGGGGUGCAUUCUAAUACUGGGAAGCUAGAGUAUGGGAGAGGAGGUUGGUAGAAUUUACAGGUGUAGUUUGAAUAUGCGUAGAGAUCUGGAGGAAUACCGAUGGUCGAAGCAGCCAUCUGUUGGCCUAAUACUGACGCUGAGGUACGAAAAGCAUGGGGAGGUCAAACAGGAUUAGAUACCCUGGUAGUCCAUGCCGUAAACGAUAUGUCUACUAGCCUUGGGGCGCUUUGAGGCUGUUAGUGGCGCUUCGCUAACGCGAUAAUAGACCUGCCCUGGUGGAAGUACGGUCGUGAGACAAAAUGAAAUCCCCAAGUAAUAACUUUGGUGGGAAUUGCAAUUCGAUACUGGGAAGCUAGAGUAUGGGAGGGAGGAUGGUAGUUAAUUCCAGGUGUAGCGGUGAAAUGCGUAGAGGGAUCUGGAGGAUAAUACCGAUGGCGAAGGCAGAAUCUGGCCAUGCUGAGGUACGUUAAAGCA
rnacentral:rRNA from 1 species